rnacentral:rRNA from 1 species
CGCGGCCUAUCAGCUUGUUGGUGGGGUAAUGGCUCACCAAGGCGACGACGGGUAGCCGGCCUGAGAGGGUGACCGGCCACACUGGGACUGAGACACGGCCCAGACUCCUACGGGAGGCAGCAGUGGGGAAUAUUGCACAAUGGGCGGAAGCCUGAUGCAGCGACGCCGCGUGAGGGAUGACGGCCUUCGGGUUGUAAACCUCUUUCAGUAGGGAAGAAGCGAGAGUGACGGUACCUGCAGAAGAAGCGCCGGCUAACUACGUGCCAGCAGCCGCGGUAAUACGUAGGGCGCAAGCGUUGUCCGGAAUUAUUGGGCGUAAAGAGCUCGUAGGCGGUUUGUCGCGUCUGCUGUGAAAGCCCGGGGCUCAACCCCGGGUCUGCAGUGGGUACGGGCAGACUAGAGUGCAGUAGGGGAGACUGGAAUUCCUGGUGUAGCGGUGAAAUGCGCAGAUAUCAGGAGGAACACCGAUGGCGAAGGCAGGUCUCUGGGCUGUUACUGACGCUGAGGAGCGAAAGCAUGGGGGGCGAACAGGAUUAGAUACCCUGGUAGUCCAUGCCGUAAACGUUGGGCACUAGGUGUGGGGGACAUUCCACGUUUUCCGCGCCGUAGCUAACGCAUUAAGUGCCCCGCCUGGGGAGUACGG